UUUUGUACUAGAUCUAUACUUAGGAGGGAAAUUGCUGGACUAUACACUAGGAUCUUGUGUUGAACCAUGCAAGGAGUUGCCAAAUUAUAUUUUCAAAUGUGUUUUCAUCGUAUAUUCCUAUCAGCAAUGUAAAGAGGGCUCCAAUUUCUACCUAUCUUCAAUGUUUAUUACCAUCUCGUCUUUAUGAUUUUGGCUCUGUCCAUACUUUCUUAUCUGUUUCAAGCCAAAAUUCCUCCAGUUUUUAAAAGAUCACUAGGAAACAACAAAUUUGUCCCUUCCUCAGGAAGAAUGCCCUCCCGGAAGUGUUUGCUAACUCUAGGCUCUAGACUGCAGCUCCUGUUCCCUGACAGCCUCCUCCUCAGCUCUCACCACCUGACAGUCAAGCGCCGUGGCUCAUGGUCAGCCAGUCCCACGAGAGCUUACUCUCAGUGCAGCACAGAAGAGCCACCCAAACACUACACGUCAAACAUAUGACUCCGAGUCUGGGGCUGCAUGAAUCUCCAGGGUUGAGACUGAAGGUCUCUCACAUACUGAGCUCACCCUCUGCCUCUGAGCACCCCCCGCUCCCGGGAACUUCAACUUAACUGCAAGAUUGUCCCACUGAGCUGGGUUCAAGGCUGUGAACAGGCCACUCACUGGAACCAGCUGGUCAGAGUCAUCAUCACGUAGAGGGAAGCCAGGAAGAAGACGAAGUGGAAAUAGGAGUAGCUGUACACGGUGCCUUUCUUCUCAUCAUAAAUCACCCUGGGUCCCUUCUUGACGUUCUGCUGCUCUUCAGUGUCUGUGGAUGACAAAGGAUGCCCAAGGGCAGUGAGAGAAACCCCAGCCUGCAGGGCCACAGUCGGGCCCAGAACCGUACCUUCUCCAUCUGGACCAAAGCAGAAACAGCACCGGGCCACCUGUGAGAACAAAAGCGACCAAGUCAAAUGCUGCUUUCUACGUCCCUAGCACUGUAUGCCGCCCGACUGGAAAAGCUUCUACCAGACGUACAUGUUAGUGCAAGAGAUUUGGCUAUGUCUCUGUCCCCAGAUACACUAGGUACAGCAUCAGGGACAGCCCUCAAGAGUAUGGGGAUGUUCUAGCCAGGUCCCCUUCAAAGGACCUAGUGCUCACCCUAGCUAGCUAUUGUGUGACUUCUGGAAGCAAAUCCUUGUGAGCCAGCUCACUUAGGCACUGCUUUGGCUGCACAGCUGCCUUGUCCCAUAGCAGGCCCUUCUGUGUAUCCUCCAUCAAAUGACUGAUCAUGGAAGGCAGAUAAAGGCCCAGCUAACAGGACAUGUAGAACACUCUGAGGCACCACCUGUGCUUGGGAGCACGCCCUGGGCUUAGUCCAGCCUAUAAUGUCCUUUAACUUUAAUUAUACUGUGCCUAAUUCUGUCUCCUUCCUCUCUCCUUUCUCUCUUCUGCAUGUGCUGACCUCUAAUAAAUUACUAACUGAGACAUUCUGUUUCAGUUCCUACCUCUGCACGACUUGGACUGAAACAUGCAGCAAAAGAGACCAUGCUCCUGCCUCACACUUCCUAGUGUGAGGCCUGCUACUCAUCAAUUCUGCCUCAGGGGCUGGGACUACGAUCAUGCUCACAACGGAUGACAGUGAAAUCAGGCAAAUUAAACAGCAGCCAGAAGUCAUAAACUAGCUUUAAGACAGAGCUGGGGGGGGGGGGGAGCAGGGGGCGCUGAAGAGAUGGCUCAGUGGUUAAGAGCAGUGACUGCUCUUCUAAAGGUCCUGACUUCAAAUCCCAGCAACCACAUGGUGGCUCACAACCAUCCGUAAUGAGAUCUGAUGCCCUCUUCUGGAGUGUCUGAAGACAGCUACAGUGUGCUUACAUAUAAUAAAUAAAUAAAUAAAUCUUAAAAAAAAAAAAGAGCUGGGACACAUGCGGAACGAGACCUUGGGAUUCGUGAUUACUCAGGGCACUGAAGCUGACAAGCUGAACUGGGAAUGGGAUAAAUCUGAAGGGCAGAUUAGAGGCAGCUGGUGGGCGGGAAUGGCUGCACCCCUGUCCUAACUCAGGAAGCAGAGGUAGAAGAAUCCCAAGUUAAUGGAUGGUCCGAGCAGUGCAGUGAACUCAAGACUAGCCCGGGAGCCGCAGAGUUCAAAGCAGUCAGCCUGGGUUAUGUAGUGAGAUCCUUUCUUAUAAAUCAAACAAAAUAAGCAAUCAGGCUGCUGAUCUGGCUGUGGAUACAGAAGGCUGGAAUUCUUGCUUCUUUAGUACAUUUUGAAUUUUAUAUCAUAAUUCCUACUUGUUCAAAACAGUAAGCUCAAAGAAAAAGAGACAAAAUUAUGAAAGUUUAUUACAUGAUUGCAGGAAGACUGAUAAACAGAAUAAGAAAGAACGGAAUGACUACACUUACCAAGACCAUCUGAGAAGCAAUGGUCUUUCCUAUCUCUAUGGAAUAGGGCUUAGCUACAAAAAUCCCAGAGAGCCAGAGCUGAGGGCCAGGAGAACACAGCCUUUCAUCCCUCAAGUCCCGCUGGAGCUUUUGCUUCCUCCUGCUCCACAAGACUUGGAUGCUGUGAGGCAGUCUACAGUUCAGAAGUCAGUGGGCCCACUCUAUUCAUUCCCGUUUCUUUUGAAGCUUAAGUUACCACAGAAAACAUGAGCUUGGUCUUUCAUAGGCAAUGAUGUGGGGGCACGAACCCACUUGCUUAGAAGCAAACAGUGGGCGGCUUCUCCCUCAAAGGAGAACAACUUUCUCUCUUAAAUCUAACCUGGGGACUUGCUGCUGUUUGAGCUUGAAGGCUGUACACAAAGGAGACAUUGAAACCAUAAUGCUCACACCCCCAGCAGGUGGCCACCCAGUCAAUGGUAGGAACAAAGGCACAAAGAAGGCUUCUGCAGAGCAUGCUCCUCUGUAACAGACAGCAGUAACCUAUUCAAGCCAGCACAGUUUCCUCCUCUGCAUUCUGAGGCUGGCAGGAUAACAGGCCUUCAUAAUGGUGCACUAUCUCUAGGCUAGGCACUGGAAAGGCAUCCCAAAUGGCCAGCUGCAGAGCCAAGUGCCCAUCCAUAUCUGGAAAGACACCAGGGCUUGUCCGUCCAGUAAAUGCUAUUUGAAUGGAUCCAGUGGCCAGACGCCAGCAAAGUCAGCUGCAGGGACUGGGACAGGAGGGGCUGGGACAGCAGUGGUGCUCCCAGGCAAUGCGCAGUCAAGAACACGUACCCAAGGGCCCAUCCUGGGAAAUGGGAAUGCUCUUCCCUCUGUGAAAUGCAAGGAACACUGCUUUUGUGAGGACGAUGUGAAACUACACGGCUUUAGACAGUCAGCACCUGUAAGUGCUAAAUGACUGAGCAGUCACUGCAGCCCCAGGUUCUGGGCAGCCUUGAGCUCACAGAGAGGUUUUCCUGCCUCUGCCUCCUAAGUGCUAGAAUUAAAGGCGUGUGCCACCGCCACCCUGGCUGCCAAGUCUCAUCUUAACUGUCCUGUAUGGUUGAGUUUUCUGACUAUGGUUCAUGUUUCACCAAGAGCUCCAGAAAAAAAAAAGACUUCUACACAGGAAAGGGAAAACAGGAAAUGUUUUGACAGUGAGCUAAACACUCCCUCAGACCUUGACAUGGAGGUGAAUGGCGUGAUCUAUACGCUUACAGUUCCUCACUGAAUGACAAGUGUGUGCUGGAACUGACCCAUAACUGAGGUGUCAGCGUUCCCGCUGUAUGUGCAGUGUGUGCAGAACGUGCUCGGCUCUCUUCCUUGCCUGUGUCUUCCUCCAGAGCGCUGAUACAUAACCCCACAGCUACGCUGCACGUGGGGAAUGCAGACGGGCGUCAAGCAGGUGUGUGGUUUAGAACUGACAGAAAACCUACGCCAUUACAGCCAAAGAGACUAAACAAGGGGUGGCUGAACAUGGUUCCCCGAGCUUUAGACUCGGGGUGGGUGCAGAGUGCCAAGCCAGUGGCAACACUGUUGACGAAAAAUUGAGAGUUCUCUCAUUUUAACACAUAGGACAAUAGUUCUUUUUGUAUACAAAAAUCUUAUUCUUUCUUAGACAGAAAAACAGAACUAUGAGUGCCAAAAAAAAAAA